UUCAUUAAUCUCUGGCAUGUGCUAUAUUGAUCUGAAAAUGCCUAGAUCUUUUCUAUGUUGAAAAUGAUACAAAAAGAUUGUUAAAGGUUUAUGGUCCGAUUCCUUAAUUAAACUUGGAGUACUUGCAAUGCGCUGCAAGAAACAUCUCUAAUCUAGAGUAAUUCUCUGAUGGGGUCAGGACGAAAACCUGAUUCAGUUUUGUUGACAAGUUACAGGACCAAUGGUGUAGUAUGUAUGCUUGUUCUGCCCCUUUUCAUUCCUUUCUUCUCUCGCCUCCCUCCAUUUUGCAUGUCAAUCUUAUUCCUUUGUGAGAGCUUGUAUGUAAAGCAUGACACUUUCGAUGGAAUAUUUCACAAUUUUAUAUAAACUCAAAGCUCUUUUGCUGCUCUAGUUGCAGAUUCAAAGACUUUAAAGGAAGAGAAAAGAGAAGAACUUUAAAAAAUCUUAAAGCUUGACAAGUCGUUGGAUGGGGCUGUUGACGUCAUUGGUUCCAUGGAACUCUCAGCUAAGAUACUUGCAAAGUUAGUAAUCAUAUAGCUUUGGUUUUGUUUGUCUACAGAAACAAGAUCCAUUUAAAUGAGAUUUCAUAUAACUCUGCAACGGGCUCAUCAAACAGGUUAUAGACAUGGAGUUCUUCUAACUGAAGUCUUUGAUUACCCUUUCAGUGGAAACAGAACUAUCAUCUUAAGAGAGAAAUGUAUAUAUGUGAGACUAAGAAUUCUAAAUUGCAUUUGCAGGUUUAUCUGGAUACCGUGGGAGAUCCUGAGAAGUAAUGAAUAAAACUGUCUGAUAAGUUUGGUUCGAUCAAAUUUGCCGUUUCAAAGAAAGCUGAUAGUUUGUAUCCUAUUGUUAGUGGAGCAAGUAUUGUGGCCAAGGUGACCAGAGACAGAGCGUUGACAGAGUGUUGGUAGAGGAAACUGGAGAAAACAUAAACAGAAACUUGGGUUCUGGUCUUCUGGAUAUUCCGGAGAUCCUGAGACAAAGGCAUGUUAGAGCAACACAAACAUUGUGUUUGGAUUCCCAUCAUUGGUACGUUUCAGUUGGGGAACUUGCACUAACGCAUUUGAAGGGCAAUGUUGAAGUUUCAUUGUUAGUUUUUCUAGUUGCUCAUAAAAUUAUCAUUUUUGUGUAGUUUACACAAACAUUUUUGAUUUUAUAUAUCACUUAAUAGCUUAUAAAAUUA